UACCAGCACCCCGAGUGGUCGGGACGAUUAUUGGGCCUAAAGCAUCCGUAGCCGGUCCUGCAAGUCUUCCGUUAAAUCCAGCUGCUCAACAGAUGGGCUGCGGGGGAUACUACAGGACUAGGAGGCGGGAGAGGCAAGCGGUACUUUAUGGGUAGGGGUAAAAUCCGUUGAUCCAUAGAAGACCACCAGUGGCGAAGGCGGCUUGCCAGAACGCGCUCGACGGUGAGGGAUGAAAGCUGGGGGAGCAAACCGG
rnacentral:rRNA from 1 species